CGAAGAGGAAGGUAAAACAGAAGGAGAAGAAGUAGUUGAUGGAAGAGACAUGUUGUCGGGGAGGAUGGAAGAUGUGCUGGAAAGUCUCCAACCACAUCAAAACCUUGAGAAACUAAUAAUCACGGACUACCCUGGUGCUGUGUUCCCAAAUUGGAUGUGUAGUCAUGAAAACUUUACGAUUUCCUCCAAUCUGGUUUUCUUGGAACUAAGUUGGUGCAGGAAUUGUAAACAAUUCCCUCCGACUCUGGGGAAACUACCAUCCCUUGAAACCCUUGUAAUAGGUGGAAUGGAUAAGGUAAAAUUCAUGGGUGUUGAGUUUUUUGGAAUUGAUCAUGGUGCUACAACAAGUGACAGUGGGGUUGACACAAUAUUCCCAAAAUUGAAAGUAUUUCAGUUGGCUGAGAUGCAUAAUUUGGAGGAUUGGGAUCUAAGAAUAGUAUAGAAUUUUCAAGAAAGGAAAGGGUUCAUCUUUAUACCUUGUCUACAGUAUCUCUUUCUUUUUAAUUUACUCAAGUUAAAGUCGUUUCCACAUCACCAUACCCAGGCUACAUCCCUGAGGAAAUUGUUCAUAUGGUACUGUCCAAAGUUGAGUUGGAUGCCAUCAUCUCCAUCCUCCCAUCUUCCUUUUCUACACAUUGAAGAGUUGAUUUUAAAAUGGGACAGAGGUUCAUUUUCGAAGUCACUAGUACCAAACAACCACAUGUUUCUCCCUAACCACAAGUUGUUGCUGGUGAGACAAUCACCUUUCUCGUCCUUACCUGAAGGCUUAGGGAAACUCACAUCGCUUCAGAUUCUGGAUAUCCGAACAUGUUCUAAGAUCAAGUCAAUACCUAAGGGGGAGUUGCAGCAUCUCACCGCACUCCAAGUGUUGAACAUCAUGAGGUGUCCCGCCUUGAGGCGACGUUGCCAAAAGGAGAUAGGAGAAGAUUGGAGCAAAAUAUCUCACAUCCCAAACUUCUUCAUCGAUGGCAAGAAGAUCAAAUGAGGAGAAACUUCCACAAUAAGAGGCAUUAUUGUUAACGGAGGAAGAAGAAGCGGACAACAAACACAUCACAUACUUGAAAGUGAAGCUCAAACUUAAAAUUUGGGGGUGACGAUGACGAUGAGCACCUCAAUAGAAAUUUCACUUCCAGAUAUGUCCAUACAUCUCUUCACAGUUUGGGAUUUGAGGUGAAGAUAGAUAUCAGAGAACUCGAAUGUUGUAUACCUAAUGUUGGACGGAAACGAACCAGGCCUCCUUCGCCACCACCUAUUUAGGGAGUUCAGAUUGAUCAGGUCAGCCUACUGUUUCUGUUAGAUCAAACACCAAGAAACACGAAUAAAGAAAGA